rnacentral:rRNA from 1 species
UACGUAGGGUGCAAGCGUUGUCCGGAAUUAUUGGGCGUAAAGAGCUCGUAGGCGGUUUGUCGCGUCUGGUGUGAAAAUCCAGGGCUUAACCCUGGACCUGCAUCGGGUACGGGCAGACUAGAGUGCGGUAGGGGAGAUCGGAAUUCCUGGUGUAGCGGUGAAAUGCGCAGAUAUCAGGAGGAACACCGGUGGCGAAGGCGGAUCUCUGGGCCGUAACUGACGCUGGAGGAGCGAAAGCAUGGGGAGCGAACAGG